rnacentral:rRNA from 1 species
AUGGGGAUCACUCUUUCUCUCAUGUGCGGCCGACGUAUGUACUACGUACUAGUAAGAUACUCCUUCUGUUAUGGAGAGCUUGGUGGUCUCUCUGAACUGAAGAAGCUAUCCUGGACAGACUGCUCUAGUGUACAAGCUAUCCUGGACAACAAAUCGAGAAACCAAUCUUUGCUCUUUCCCCUGGUCACGGACACAUGGUAUCUCAUGGAACAGUUCAAGGAGAUUUCCAUACAAGCCGUGAAGAGAACCAGGAACAAGAUGGCGCAUGAACUAUCACCUCUAGCUAGAAGGAACGGUGACCACAUUACGUUAGGAGAUGUUCCCUCUCCCUUAAGGAUUAUUUUACUUAAGGAGGAUUGUAAAAUCUCUCUGGGAUUAUGUAAUACUAAUGGCUUGCUGAGCCUUUUCUCAAAAAAAGAAAGAAAGAAGAAAGACUGA